AGCAGCCGCCGCGGUAAUACGAGGGGGGCUAGCGUUGCUCGGAAUUACUGGGCGUAAAGGGAGCGUAGGCGGAUGAAUUAGUCAGGGGUGAAAUCCCGGGGCUCAACCUCGGAACUGCCUUUGAUACUGUUCAUCUUGAGUAUGGGAGAGAUGUGUGGAACUCCGAGUGUAGAGGUGAAAUUCGUAGAUAUUCGGAAGAACACCAGUGGCGAAGGCGACACACUGGCCCAUUACUGACGCUGAGGCUCGAAAGCGUGGGGAGCAAACAGGAUUAGAUACCCCCGUAGUCCCUGUCUCUUAUAC
rnacentral:rRNA from 1 species